UAGAUACCCCACUAUGCUUAGCCUUAAACCUAAAUAAUUUUACAUACAAAAAUAUUUGCCAGAGAACUACUAGCUACAGCCUAAAACUCA
rnacentral:rRNA from 1 species